rnacentral:rRNA from 1 species
UACGUAGGGUGCGAGCGUUAAUCGGAAUUACUGGGCGUAAAGCGUGCGCAGGCGGUCUGUUAAGACCGAUGUGAAAUCCCCGGGCUUAACCUGGGAACUGCAUUGGUGACUGGCGGGCUAGAGUAUGGCAGAGGGGGGUAGAAUUCCACGUGUAGCAGUGAAAUGCGUAGAGAUGUGGAGGAAUACCGAUGGCGAAGGCAGCCCCCUGGGCCAAUACUGACGCUCAUGCACGAAAGCGUGGGGAGCAAACAGG